rnacentral:rRNA from 1 species
UGGGUUCUAUUUUGUUGGUUUCUAGGACCUCAGUAGUGAUUAACAGGGAUAGUUGGGGGCAUUAGUAUUUAAUUGUCAGAGGUGAAAUUCUUGGAUUUAUGAAAGACUAACUUCUGCGAAAGCAUUUGCCAAGGAUGUUUUCAUUAAUCAAGAACGAAAGUUAGGGGAUCGAAGACGAUCAGAUACCGUCGUAGUCUUAACCAUAAACUAUGCCGACUAGGGAUCGGACGAUGUUAUUUAUNCUGNCUNGUUCGGUCCCUUGAGAGAAAUCAAAGUUUUUGGGUUCCGGGGGGAGUAUGGUCGCAAGGNUGAAACUUAAAGGAAUNGACGGAAGGGCACCACCAGNAGUGGAGCCUGCGGNUUAAUUUGACUCANCACGGGGAAACUCACCAGGUCCANACNUAGUAAGGAUUGACANAUUGAAAGCUCUUUNUUGAUUNUAUGGGUGGNGGUGCAUGGCCGUUNUUAGUUGGNGGAGUGAUUUGUNUGGUUAAUUCCGUUAACNAACNAAACCUUAACCUG